UUGAAACCUGCUCCAAAGUGAGCACAUCUAUUUGAUUUCGUCUCGUUUUUAUUUAUUUAUUUUUUUGUGCAAGUAUAAACACAUUUAUUUAUUUUUGGUUUUAUCAAGGUCAUAGUCAUUCUAUAUAAACUCUUGUAUUUGUUGGUUUUUUUUAGCAUCUUUAUUGGAGUAUAAUUGCUUUACGAUGGUUCGUCUCAUGUUUAAAGAAGUCAUUUCUGCACCUUUUUACAAUUCAUGUAAUAGAUUGAUAUGGUCAAAUAUAUGCAUAUAAGUAAUUUAUAAAUCGGUAAAUAUACAUCUUCAGGGUAUAGGUAUAUUCAAAGAUUUUCCUGGAGGAGGGAUAGACAGUUCAAAUGUUUGGAGGCCACCGUGUCCGUGGACACGUGCGGACAGCACGGCCCACUACACUAACACCCUGCUUUUGCCCCAAGGAGGCGGGAGAUGCGGGGCCUUGCAGACAGGUGGCUGCUGUUCAGACGGGUGGGCGCCCAGGAUGCCACCUCGCACACCAGGGCCUGCGCAUCACAGCAGGCUGCCUCUAGGCCCCGAGCUUGCACAGCUGACAACUAAAGUGUCAGGGCCCCUCAGGAGAGCUUCGGUGGGUACAAGCCCCCAGAGUGAGGCUUCACAGCCCAGUCCAUCCUCAUCUGGCUUUGCUUCUUCCUCCAGAGAAGGUAAUCAACCUCCUGCACAAACGUCUUUUCUUUUUUUCUCCCUACAAAUAGAUCCAUCGAGAUCAAACUUCAAAAAAAAAGAGCUAGUUUGCCUUCACAUAAGGAAGAAGAAAGAAUGACCAAAAGUAGAAUUUGGGUGUGUCUUCUGUCUGUGACCAGGCUUCCCUGGUCUGGGGUUUGAGCCUCGUCUUAGACGCUGGUGAGAGCUGGAUGGAACCCCCUUGUGAAGAAAGGCUUACGGGAAGGGGGGGACCACAGGACACCUGUUGGGGUUUUGACCAGAUGCUUCAGAUGUGGAUCAACUGAGGGGAACUGACGUCUUGACAAUAUUGAGUCUUCCAGCUCACGAGCAAGGUGUGUCUCUGCACUAAUACAGGACUUGAAUUUCCUCAGCAAAGUAGUGUGGGUCUUACGUACCUGUGUCAGACUUAGUUGUGAGUUUGAUGCCAUUGCAAAUGGUGAUGUGUUUUUAGUUAAAAUCUCCAACUGUUCCUCAUUCGUUGCAGUGCAGUCACCUCCCUGUGUCCGCGGGUGAUGCGUUCCAGGGCCCCUGAGGGCACCCAAAUCCAAGGACGCUCAAAUUUCUCUAUCAAAUGUUUGCGUAUAACCUACACACAUCCUCCCAUAGACUUUAAAUCAUCUCUAGAUUGCUUGUAAUGCCUGCUACAAUGUAAAUGUUAUAUAAAUACUUGUAAAUACAAUGCUACGUAUAUAGGUCCCAGGAUGUGGAAAAUUCAAGUUUUGCUUUUGGGAACUUUCUGAAAUUAAAUAUAUGUAUUUGAUCUGUGGUUGGUUGGAUCUGAGGGUGCUGGACAUGCAGAUAUGAAAGGUUGACUGUGUAUAGAAAUGCAUUUGAUAUUUCAUACUGACCUUGUACCCUGCACCCCUACUUUUACUUGUUAAUUCUUGAAUCUUUUUACUUAGAGUUCACUAGAUUUUCUGCGUAGGUGAUUAUGUUGUCUGCAAAUAAGACAGGUUUAGUUCUUCCUUUCUCAUCUGGGGCCAUUUGAUUUCUUUUUCUUUCCCUGAUGGGUUGCUGGGACCCCCCCCAUUACAAUAGUGAGUACAAGUGGUGAAAGUCAUGUCCUUGUCUUAUUCUUGAUCUCAGGAAUACAACUGUCAGCAUUUCACCGUUAUGUGCACUUUAUCAGAGUGAAGAAAUUUCUCUCCUAUUCCCAGUUUACUGUGAAGCUGUAUUUUGUAAAAUACUUCUGUGUCCAUUGAGAUCAUCGUGUGGUUUUUCUUUUUAGUUUAUUGUAAUAUGGUAAAAUACAUCGAUUGAUUUUUGAAUAUUAAACCAACCUUGCAUUCCUGGGUUAAGCCUCACUUAGUCAUAAUGUAUGUGUAUGUAUAUGCAUAUAUAAAAACAUAGAUGUAAAUAUUCUAGACAAAAUGUCAGCCAAUCAAAUACAAUAUACACAUAAUAUUGGAGAGCACACAUAUUAUUAUAUAUUGGAUUUGAUUUGCUCAGAUUUUAUUUAGAACAUUUACAUCUAUAUUCAUGAGAGAUAUUGGUAUAUUUCUUUUUCUUUUGUUUUUUUUGCGGUACGCGGGCCUCUCACUGUUGUGGCCUCUCCCGUUGUGGAGCACAGGCUCCGGACGUGCAGGCUCAGCGGCCAUGGCUCACGGGCCCAGCCGCUCCCCGGCAUGUGGGAUCUUCCUGGACCGGGGCACGAACCCGUGUCCCCUGCGUCGGCAGGCGGACUCCCAACCACUGCGCCACCAGGGAAGCCCUCUUGUAAUGUUUUUACAUAGUUUUGAUAUCAGGAUAACACUAGCCUCAAAGCUCACGUCUCCCCCGCCACCGACGGCAGCUGCUCCCCGAAGAUGAGAUGGGUUUCUGCCCUCAUCCCUCAAGAGGCCCCUUUUUUCCGUCACUAAGGUUUUUCAAGCAGGAAAGAUACACGAUGAAGUGCAGUUUUACGGUUUCAUAUCAUAUUUGUGUUUUCCAAGAAACGUUCAAUAAGAUGUUCCUCCUCGCUUACAGAAUAUUCCUUUAAUCAGUUCCUUGGAAGAACCACGGGGCUGUAUUUAAAAUUUAUUUCUGGAUAUUUACUUAAGGAUAAUUGCAAAGAAGAUUGGCCCAAAGAAAACGUGAGCAUUUGUCAGAGGGCAGUAUUGUGCUUUCUUUCCUGCUUCUACGUCUGUUCGUAAGUCCCUACUUCUGGCCUCGACGUCAUGUGACAUCAAGGCCACAGACUGGAAGGCUGGGGCUUAGAAGACGUAGCUUCAAAGGCUUCCUCGGGCUUCACCCGGCCAGGACGUCUUGCAGUGACCCCUAACCUCGCUGGGCCAGGACCCUCCUUUGUCAAAGAACCAGGCUGGCGAGGGGGCCGGCAUCCUGGUCCACAGUCUGUGGUCCUGAGCUUCCUGCCAUCAUGACCCGUGUGACUCUAGUAUAGAGUCGGCAUAAGGCCGAGCGUGUACUAUUGGCUAAAAGAAAAUAACACUUCUGGGCCUGUGAUAACGUGGGCUUUGCUUUCCAAGGUGUGGAACUACCUUGGGACAGCAGGAGGGGCCCCGGGCAGAAAGCCGUGUCCUAACAGGGGUGAUGAAAGACAUGGGGUCCUUCAGCAAAGAACCACCCGCUUAGGACCAGGUCUUGUUUUGUCGCCUGUAAUUUAUCUUCCAAUAGGUCCACUGGGGAAGAAACAAUCAACCAGGGGCCUUGACCCCAGGGGGCGGUUGUCAGGCCCUCUUUGUGUCGGGGGUGUCGUCAGGCAGGAAUAUCUGCAAAUCACUGUGUUUGUUGAUCCUGUAACACAGAGCUGACGCUCAGUCUACAAGCAGCUGGAUGAGCACGUGGCCCCGGGGAAGCACCUCUUUGGGUUCCAGGAACCAGAAGUAGAGACCGGACCUGCUGGAGUCGCCCCGAAGGAGCCAGCCGUGUGGACCUACCAGGGCCCGAGGCGCCGGCCCCUCUUCAUGGGGACCCUUCUCGGCCAGGUCUUCCUGUGCAGGGAGCAGAGACCCCAGGUUGCUCUUGGCCUCGUGUGGCCGUGACUUCAGGUGUCUGUGCAAUUCCGUGGAAUGUCUGAGACCCAGACUCCCUUCCGCCAGCUGCCCGUUUGUGCGCAACCUCUCGAGACCUCCGUGCAUUUCCAGAGCGUGUGUGAGGGCUGUGAGGGGUCGUCACCGCACCAGCUGUUCGCGGCUUCUCUGUAUAAACCUUCCGUGUUUGUCAAGCAGCUGAGCGGAGGGGACCAGCCACUCCCUGCAGAGCUUUCCGCCUUUGGAACGUGUUCCCCACCUACUCACAUAGGGUCUCCUGCCCUGCUUCCUCCUUCUGGCUCCCGCGGCAGCUGGGGGCUGUGAAAUGCGUCCUUUAUUCCAGCUGCCUCUCCGGUCUGUGGCUGAAAGGCAGGGGCCCUGCUCUGUCCAGGGAGCUGGGGAUACCGCACCAGGCAAUCACCUUCCAGCUGUGAGUUUUCCAGAAAAUCAGAGGUGCAGAGAGCAGAGGGCCUGACUCGGAGGCCUUGGCGGAGUGGAAAGGGGUUCUGGUUAAACACGAGCAGCCCUGGGAACAAGUCUAAUUCUGCCACCGACACUGUGUGUCUUCAGGCCAGCGCGGCCACCUCUCUGGGCCUUCAGUUUCCUCAUCUGCGAAAAGAAUAGCACUUACUGAACGAUUUCUAAACUUGUCCCCCAGCACAAGUGUAUUAUGAUCCUUUAGCUUGAGACAUGGGAUUUGCCGUGUGGAAAGCAGACUUGAAACUGGGGUUUAAGCAGAUCUGCGGGCACUGCGUCUGGAUCUAGCGGAUUGGGCAGCCCCUACACCCACCGCACAUGGUCUCCCAGCAGCUCAUGCCCCACCCCGUCCCCUGACCCAGUCAGGGCCUUGCUCUGAGUCUCUGCUCACAGGCCAGGGACAACUGAGGAGCUUAGGGGCCCGAGGGGAACAGCUGGGCUCGCAGGAGAGGUACGUGCCCUGUGCACUGCUGCACAGAGUGUAGCGUUUGAAAAGAGGUACAUCAAAUCUAUUUAAAUGGGUUACAUUAGUAAAUUAGAAUUCUUGACAAUCGCAAUCAACAUCAAAAGGAAAUUGUCUUAAUUGUUCCAUUUAAAUGAUAAAGUGCUAUUUUUACACAGUGAAAAAGCGCCUAGUGUAAUAGUUAAACUCUUGAUCCUUUGUUAGUUUGAGCCUGUUUGUAUUAAUUGGGAACUUCACAGGUAUCGUUAAUAAACAAAAGAUAACUUUAAAUAAACAUCUAGAACGA